AGCGUACACGGUGGAUGCCCUGGCAGUCAGAGGCGAUGAAGGACGUGCUAAUCUGCGAUAAGCGUCGGUAAGGUGAUAUGAACCGUUAUAACCGGCGAUUUCCGAAUGGGGAAACCCAGUGUGAUUCGUCACACUAUCAUUAACUGAAUCCAUAGGUUAAUGAGGCGAACCGGGGGAACUGAAACAUCUAAGUACCCCGAGGAAAAGAAAUCAACCGAGAUUCCCCCAGUAGCGGCGAGCGAACGGGGAGCAGCCCAGAGCCUGAAUCAGUGUGUGUGUUAGUGGAAGCGUCUGGAAAGGCGCGCGAUACAGGGUGACAGCCCCGUACACAAAAAUGCACAUACUGUGAGCUCGAUGAGUAGGGCGGGACACGUGGUAUCCUGUCUGAAUAUGGGGGGACCAUCCUCCAAGGCUAAAUACUCCUGACUGACCGAUAGUGAACCAGUACCGUGAGGGAAAGGCGAAAAGAACCCCGGCGAGGGGAGUGAAAAAGAACCUGAAACCGUGUACGUACAAGCAGUGGGAGCACGCUUCGGCGUGUGACUGCGUACCUUUUGUAUAAUGGGUCAGCGACUUAUAUUCUGUAGCAAGGUUAACCGAAUAGGGGAGCCGAAGGGAAACCGAGUCUUAACUGGGCGUUAAGUUGCAGGGUAUAGACCCGAAACCCGGUGAUCUAGCCAUGGGCAGGUUGAAGGUUGGGUAACACUAACUGGAGGACCGAACCGACUAAUGUUGAAAAAUUAGCGGAUGACUUGUGGCUGGGGGUGAAAGGCCAAUCAAACCGGGAGAUAGCUGGUUCUCCCCGAAAGCUAUUUAGGUAGCGCCUCGUGAAUUCAUCUCCGGGGGUAGAGCACUGUUUCGGCAAGGGGGUCAUCCCGACUUACCAACCCGAUGCAAACUGCGAAUACCGGAGAAUGUUAUCACGGGAGACACACGGCGGGUGCUAACGUCCGUCGUGAAGAGGGAAACAACCCAGACCGCCAGCUAAGGUCCCAAAGUCAUGGUUAAGUGGGAAACGAUGUGGGAAGGCCCAGACAGCCAGGAUGUUGGCUUAGAAGCAGCCAUCAUUUAAAGAAAGCGUAAUAGCUCACUGGUCGAGUCGGCCUGCGCGGAAGAUGUAACGGGGCUAAACCAUGCACCGAAGCUGCGGCAGCGACACUAUGUGUUGUUGGGUAGGGGAGCGUUCUGUAAGCCUGUGAAGGUGUACUGUGAGGUAUGCUGGAGGUAUCAGAAGUGCGAAUGCUGACAUAAGUAACGAUAAAGCGGGUGAAAAGCCCGCUCGCCGGAAGACCAAGGGUUCCUGUCCAACGUUAAUCGGGGCAGGGUGAGUCGACCCCUAAGGCGAGGCCGAAAGGCGUAGUCGAUGGGAAACAGGUUAAUAUUCCUGUACUUGGUGUUACUGCGAAGGGGGGACGGAGAAGGCUAUGUUGGCCGGGCGACGGUUGUCCCGGUUUAAGCGUGUAGGCUGGUUUUCCAGGCAAAUCCGGAAAAUCAAGGCUGAGGCGUGAUGACGAGGCACUACGGUGCUGAAGCAACAAAUGCCCUGCUUCCAGGAAAAGCCUCUAAGCAUCAGGUAACAUCAAAUCGUACCCCAAACCGACACAGGUGGUCAGGUAGAGAAUACCAAGGCGCUUGAGAGAACUCGGGUGAAGGAACUAGGCAAAAUGGUGCCGUAACUUCGGGAGAAGGCACGCUGAUAUGUAGGUGAAGCGACUUGCUCGUGGAGCUGAAAUCAGUCGAAGAUACCAGCUGGCUGCAACUGUUUAUUAAAAACACAGCACUGUGCAAACACGAAAGUGGACGUAUACGGUGUGACGCCUGCCCGGUGCCGGAAGGUUAAUUGAUGGGGUUAGCGGUAACGCGAAGCUCUUGAUCGAAGCCCCGGUAAACGGCGGCCGUAACUAUAACGGUCCUAAGGUAGCGAAAUUCCUUGUCGGGUAAGUUCCGACCUGCACGAAUGGCGUAAUGAUGGCCAGGCUGUCUCCACCCGAGACUCAGUGAAAUUGAACUCGCUGUGAAGAUGCAGUGUACCCGCGGCAAGACGGAAAGACCCCGUGAACCUUUACUAUAGCUUGACACUGAACAUUGAGCCUUGAUGUGUAGGAUAGGUGGGAGGCUUUGAAGUGUGGACGCCAGUCUGCAUGGAGCCGACCUUGAAAUACCACCCUUUAAUGUUUGAUGUUCUAACGUUGGCCCGUGAUCCGGGUUGCGGACAGUGUCUGGUGGGUAGUUUGACUGGGGCGGUCUCCUCCUAAAGAGUAACGGAGGAGCACGAAGGUUGGCUAAUCCUGGUCGGACAUCAGGAGGUUAGUGCAAUGGCAUAAGCCAGCUUGACUGCGAGCGUGACGGCGCGAGCAGGUGCGAAAGCAGGUCAUAGUGAUCCGGUGGUUCUGAAUGGAAGGGCCAUCGCUCAACGGAUAAAAGGUACUCCGGGGAUAACAGGCUGAUACCGCCCAAGAGUUCAUAUCGACGGCGGUGUUUGGCACCUCGAUGUCGGCUCAUCACAUCCUGGGGCUGAAGUAGGUCCCAAGGGUAUGGCUGUUCGCCAUUUAAAGUGGUACGCGAGCUGGGUUUAGAACGUCGUGAGACAGUUCGGUCCCUAUCUGCCGUGGGCGCUGGAGAACUGAGGGGGGCUGCUCCUAGUACGAGAGGACCGGAGUGGACGCAUCACUGGUGUUCGGGUUGUCAUGCCAAUGGCACUGCCCGGUAGCUAAAUGCGGAAGAGAUAAGUGCUGAAAGCAUCUAAGCACGAAACUUGCCCCGAGAUGAGUUCU
rnacentral:rRNA from 2 species